AUCCUUAUCGGUUUCAGUAGGUAGUCACAGGCUCCGUGCUGAACGCCCUUCAUCACCCGGCUUGUCUCUCCAUCCACCGACAUCACUGCACAAGAAGAUCCAUCUCGAGCCCGACAUGCUCAAGAAGCUUGAACCCAUCCAUGUCCGGCAUGUUCACAUCGCUGAUCACGAUAUCGUACCCGUCCUUACGCUCCCGGAGUAGCUUCAGAGCCUCUCUCGCCAAGCCACAGGUUUCUCUUCCAUCAAAAUCUCAGAAAAGACUCAGAAUCUGGGAGGGAUCUCAAGGUGUUCAGACAGUAGUAGUUCAGAACAGAUUCGC